rnacentral:rRNA from 1 species
GAUUAGCCUGCGUCCGAUUAGCUAGUUGGUGGGGUAAGGGCCUACCAAGGCGACGAUCGGUAGCUGGUCUGAGAGGAUGACCAGCCACACUGGAACUGAGACACGGUCCAGACUCCUACGGGAGGCAGCAGUGGGGAAUAUUGGACAAUGGGGGCAACCCUGAUCCAGCAAUGCCGCGUGUGUGAAGAAGGCCUGAGGGUUGUAAAGCACUUUCGGUGGGGAGGAGGGUUGAUAGGUUAAGAGCUGAUUAACUGGACGUUACCCACAGAAGAAGCACCGGCUAACUCCGUGCCAGCAGCCGCGGUAAUACGGAGGGUGCGAGCGUUAAUCGGAAUUACUGGGCGUAAAGGGUGCGUAGGUGGUUGAUUAAGUUAUCUGUGAAAUUCCUGGGCUUAACCUGGGACGGUCAGAUAAUACUGGUUGACUCGAGUAUGGGAGAGGGUAGUGGAAUUUCCGGUGUAGCGGUGAAAUGCGUAGAGAUCGGAAGGAACACCAGUGGCGAAGGCGGCUACCUGGCCUAAUACUGACACUGAGGCACGAAAGCGUGGGGAGCAAACAGGAUUAGAUACCCUGGUAGUCCACGCUGUAAACGAUGUCAACUAGCUGUUGG